rnacentral:rRNA from 1 species
GACGAACGCUGGCGGCGUGCUUAACACAUGCAAGUCGAGCGGUAAGGCUCCUUCGGGAGUCCACGAGCGGCGAACGGGUGAGUAACACGUGAGUAAUCUGCCCUUCACUUCGGGAUAACCACCGGAAACGGUGGCUAAUACCGAAUACGACCAGUCUUCGCAUGCGGUUCUGGUGGAAAGUCUUUUCGGUGAAGGAUGUGCUCGAGGCCUAUCAGCUUGUUGGUGGGGUAAUGGCCUACCAAGGCUUCGACGGGUAGCCGGCCUGAGAGGGUGACCGGCCACACUGGGACUGAGACACGGCCCAGACUCCUACGGGAGGCAGCAGUGGGGAAUAUUGGACAAUGGGCGAAAGCCUGAUCCAGCAACGCCGCGUGAGGGAUGACGGCCUUCGGGUUGUAAACCGCUUUCAGUACCGACGAAGCGCCCUGUCGGGUGGUGACGGUAGGUACAGAAGAAGGACCGGCCAACUACGUG